rnacentral:tRNA from 2 species
AUUUAAAUAGUUUAAUAAAAACAUUGGUCUUGUAAACCAAAAUUAAAAAUUAUUUUUUUUUAAAUA